CAAUAGUGUAAUUCUGCAGCUUUUAUCCGAAUGUACCAUUUGUAUGUGCACUAUCUGAUAACAGCGGAAGUUGUACUUCCGCACGGAAGGUCCCACUGCGGCUCUAUUAGCCGAACCCACCAUUUUCAGGUCUGCAUGCGAUUGUUUCGUUACUUUUACUAUCGCUCCUGCACACGCAUCGUUGCUUUCCAUCUUUCCCAUCGUGAUUUUGGCUCGUUUUUGUCGGCAGGACUAGCAGGAGUUCUGGUUAUUGAACCACUGUUUACAAACGCGCUUGGGUGCUUUACCGACUGUGCGCUCUUCCCUCAGCUCUAAUUGCUAACGCGAUGGUUUGGUGCAACGAGUGUUUUUACUAACUUUUUGUCUGGGAGUUUUACGUCUGGUGGAGCUGAUUUUUUUCCGUAGUAGUGAUUCAACCAAUCGAAAAAGCCACGAUUGUGCGGAGACAGUGAAAAAGGCUUCAAAAUGGACAACGAAUAUCAGGAGAUUUUGCCAAAAGUGUCUGGAUAUCUAGAAAAAAAGGGACGAAAGAGAAUGAUCAGUUGUUACAAGAAAUACUGGUUUGUCCUGGAAGGCAGACUUUUAUUAUACUACAAGUCGAAGGACGAAUACGAAAAAGCGAUAUCCCCUUGCAAAGGAUUCAUCAGCCUGGGGCAUACAUCCAAUGUGA
rnacentral:lncRNA from 1 species